rnacentral:rRNA from 1 species
GAUGAACGCUGGCGGCGUGCUUAAUACAUGCAAGUCGAGCGAAGCGCUUUAACGGAAUUCUCCGGAAGGAAGAUAAAGUGACUGAGCGGCGGACGGGUGAGUAACGCGUGGGUAACCUGCCUCAUACAGGGGGAUAACAGUUAGAAAUGGCUGCUAAUACCGCAUAAGCGCACAGGACCGCAUGGUCUGGUGUGAAAAACUCCGGUGGUAUGGGAUGGACCCGCGUUGGAUUAGGUAGUUGGUGGGGUAACGGCCUACCAAGCCGACGAUCUAUAGCCGGCCUGAGAGGGUGGACGGCCACAUUGGGACUGAGACACGGCCCAGACUCCUACGGGAGGCAGCAGUAGGGAAUAUUGCACAAUGGGGGAAACCCUGAUGCAGCGACGCCGCGUGAAGGAAGAAGUAUCUCGGUAUGUAAACUUCUAUCAGCAGGGAAGACAAUGACGGUAC